UCAACGCAACCGACAUCUCUUGGUUGAGCUUGUUUUGGCGUCGUUUCUGUGACUAGAUCGUAAAUUUGCCUCGAUAUUUUCGAAUAUAUACAGGUGUGCGCGGUUUGAGACAUAUUUUUGAUUAGUGUUGUUUAGUGAUUGCGUACCGUGAUUGACUCCCAGGCAGACUUCAAACAGUUUGCUUACGGGAGUUAUGGAUGCUUUCAGCUAGGAACGAUGAGGUAUGCUACCUUGUCGACAGGUAAGUCCCAAAUUCAGCAG